UACGAAGGGGGGCUAGCGUUGUUCGGAAUUACUGGGCGUAAAGCGCACGUAGGCGGACAUUUAAGUCAGGGGUGAAAUCCCGGGGCUCAACCCCGGAACGGCCUUUGAUACUGGGUGUCUUGAGUUCGGAAGAGGUGAGUGGAAUUGCGAGUGUAGAGGUGAAAUUCGUAGAUAUUCGCAGGAACACCAGUGGCGAAGGCGGCUCACUGGUCCGAGUACUGACGCUGAGGUGCGAAAGCUAGGGAGCGAAUGGG
rnacentral:rRNA from 1 species